ensembl:lncRNA
AUGACUAAUGGACAUUUCCCCACUGCUUAUCAACACAGUGUUUUGAGAGGUAGAUAAUGCAAAUUAUCCAUUAACUUAUGUGCUGGGUCUGCUCUUACCGGAUUUAGCGUGCCACUGGUCAGCUCAGCCACAGUGGAGAUAUGUUCUUUGAAAAGAAGCUCAUAAAAGAAAAGCUGAAGAGUAUGGAGUCCUAUAGAUUAUAUUUAAAAAGUUAAAAAGGAUAUUCUUGUCUGUUCUCUGGCCCCAGACAUAUUCAGGUACUGAUGCAAAUUGGACCAGCUUCACCAGAACAGAUGAAAAAAUCCACUCCAGUUCUGGCAUUUAAAACAUUUCUGAAGGAUGCGGUUGAUCUUCACUGCAACUGUGUUCUGGUCCAAACAGAAAGAAGACUUGAGCCCAAGCUUCCUCAGUCAAAACUGUGGCCAUCUUUGUCAUACCAGGGCAUUCCAUUCUUACAUGAUGUAUGUUUAAAUUUCCCUUACAUCAUUAUUCCAAAUUUUCAUGGGUGUUAACUUAGGAGUGCUGAUCUUUGCACCUUAGAGUUUUUAGUUUAUGUAACGUUAUUAUGCAUUUGUACUCAGUUCCUGAGUAAAAUGCAUAAACUUUGUGGGAAAAACAAACAAACAAACAACAAAAAAAACCCCAGAAAACUCAAGACUCUUCCUCUCCAUUUUAAUGAUCUGAUUAUUUAGCAUGAAAACCACUCUUACUUUCAUGCUCCAGGGUUUGAUCCAAUUAAGCUGCAGCACUUUCCUAUAGAGAGGCACGCAGCUGCAGGGAGGGAUGGAAAGUAAUUUCUGCAGCUGAGCUUAAAGUCUGGGAGUUAGAGCAGUCUCCUUCGAAGGGAAAAAGCAGUCAGGAUCUCUCUCAGGGAGAUCCCUUCUAACUUCCCUAGCAUGAGCAAGAGAUCUAAACAGAAAGCAACUGCAUGAGUAAUUCUUUGACCCACAAAGAAAUAUCAUCUACUGAUGAAUUUUGAGUAGGAUGCAAUUCUGCUGAUGUUGAUUGGUAAGUUCUAACAUGAUGUGAUCUGAAAAAACUGAGCCCCAUAGGCAAAUAUAGUUAAGUAACUCCUGUUUUACAUCUACACCUGUACGAUUGCUGAUGUUCAUAUUCAGACUUAAGUUGUUGACUUGAAUCACUCUGCUCAUGACAACUCAGUCUCUACAGUUUUCCAAUGGGAAUGACCUUGGCCUUUCCAUCUCUCCCAGAAGCACUGCAAACAGGAUGGGCAAGCAAGGCAUGGGAUAUCAGUUGGGAAACAGUGCAGACCUCAAAGACAGUUUAAUUCUAACCUCCAUACAGUGGGCACAUAUACCUUCCUCCAGACCAGGUUGCUCAAAGCCCCAUCAAACCUGAUCUUGAACACCUCUGGGGAUGGGACAUGCACAGUUUCUCUGGGCAGCCUGUGCCAGUGCUUCACCGCAUCCAUGGUAAAGAUUUUCUUCCUAAUAUUUAAUCUAAAUCUACCCACUUUUAAUUUAAAGCCAUUAUUCCUUGCCCUAUCACCACAACCUCUUGUAAAAGUCCUCACCUUUCCUGUAGGCUCCCUUAAGGUACUGGAAGGCUACUGUAACAUCUUGCAGCCUUCUUUUCUCCAGGCUGAAUGAUCCCACCUCUCUCUCUCUUCAUGGAAGAGGUACUCCAGCCAUUUGAUAAUCACUGUGGCCCUCCUCUGGACUUACUCCAGUAAGUCUUACUGGGCAAGAAGAAACAUCAGAAAGUACAUUUAAAUCUGGAAUCACUUCCACGGUCUGGCUGCUCAUAUUGUGCAAACUGAAAAGCAGCAUUUCCAUUUUGCAGUAUCUAUAUCCCAUUUAUCAUUUUAGCCCAGCAUAAACUUUAAGAGCAUCAGAACUAAAGGGCAAACAUCAGAAAAGGUACACAACUUCACUCUGUGUUGUAGCAAUAAAAGAUAUUUUUAAUUCAGCCUUUCCUUCUCUGUUCUGAUACUAUACUUUGUUGUGUAUUAAACCAAGCAAUUCUACCCAAAGGAACAGAUUUUGACAUUUAUCAUUAUAAAGACCACACUUAAAAGGACCCAGAAUUGAUGAGCCUGGUAGAAAUACAGCUUGUAGUUACUCACAGAGGCAACCAGAAAGUUAUCUCUCCCAGUUCUUCGGUCUUUGUUUCUUAUUUCAGAAAUUUUCUGCCCAGCUUAUAGAAAUACCCACUAUAGAAAGUGGAAUGGUAAUUAAGGAAGCUUUUCCUUUUCCCUGCUAUCUAUCCAUUACAACACUUGUUCCCUGUAAUUCAAAUAUACCACCUCUUACCAGCACAGCAAGUCAAGAAAUAUGAUUAUUCUUUCCUUAGGGACCAGUAAGAUUCCCCAAAUUGAACAUAAUGACAGUCAGACUGAUAACAUCUCCUCUAUUCCACCAGUUUUAAAUAAUUUCAGACUCAAGUGCUACUCUCUAUGGGAGAAGGAGUCAUACACUGAUUAAUUCAUCUGCUAGAGUUCCCACAAUCACUUUAAAAUGUUCUCCAAUACUAGCAUUUGGCAGAACACUGACUCUCAAACUCUGGUAUUCUAUGACUCCACAUUUAAUUGUUUUCACCUAAUCCUCUUUAGAGGUGUUUAAAUUAGUUUUCCCAGGGCUCCAUAGAUUCAUAGAUGCUAAAGGCUGAGAAAUGUCCUUGGAAUGGAUAGAUGCAACUCUUCAAAAAUAAGAAGAGGAUUAACUUCAGGAUGUGGCAUGCAGUGUGGAAAUAUAGAUGGGGGAAAGAAGAAAAAAAUAAAACAGAGCUAAACCAGAGUUUAUCCUUUUUCAAAGCCUAGCUUGGCCUGGAACAAGAAAAUUUUGUAACCUCAUUCUACCUCAUUUCUAUUUUCUUGCUACUGUGCUACUACCUGUGUAAGUCGUCACUGAAAACAGAAUCUUGGUGAGAACAUGCUUCAAAAUGAGAUGGGCAUUAGCCUAUCUCUCGAAGAACCACAUCUCUUUCCCAUUUGACACAAUAAUAGCUGGUCACAUAAGGAAUAAAUUCAACCAUCCUGUUUGUGAUGUCAGCAAGUUUCUCAGACUAAGCUGAUGGAUCGUGACUUUUUGUUUCUACUUUCUAGCAGUGGCCGUGGGAAUCUUCAUCUUUGAAAACAUAAAUUGAUAGUGAAAGGAUCUGGAGACAUGUGAAGUGUCUCUCAUUGCUGUCCAAUCUAUUCCUUUACUUAUUUUGAUUGUUUUGUGGUAUUUUGUAUAUUCGUUUGUUUGUUUUUGUAGUAGGCUUAAGGACAGUAAGCAAAAGUCAGUCUUCAUACUAAUAUGCUGUUUGGAUAGGCUUCUUCACUACAACUUUUAUAUGAACUAAUGUCAGCUCAAGCUGCUUCAUGAACUAGCUCAGUCCCUGAAGCUUUUUGUCCUGAAUGCCCUUUGGAUUGUAGCACUUCAAAUACACAUACCAUAUCUUUACACAUACUUAGCAAUCAGUACAAAGAGGAUUCCUUCUCAGAAGAUGUAAUUUUUUGUUUGAAAACAACACAGUAUUUCCAUUAUAUCUUUAUUUUUAAAAUGAGAGAUUACCUUCAGUUUGGAAAAUAAAUCCAUACUUUAGGCUUAUGUUUUCCUGUGUCUGUUGUCCUCACUUGAAGAGCCAUCCCUUUAUUCUUGCAUCUUUUCUCUUUCCACUUUCAAUCUGUGUUUGAUUUUCUUCUAUUUUCCAGGCUGGGAAAGUUCUCGACACAGGCUAGGUUAAAGGAAGAUGGUUAAUAAUACCCAAGUCCACUGUAUCAUUUCUCUCUUAACAGUCUUUUUUUAAUUAAAACUUAAAGUUUCAGUCCUUUGUCUCACAGUUUCUUCAGACUGUUAAAUGAACCUAAAGGUCCUAAAAGAGAAAGAAAACAGAGGCAAUCCAUGUGUUGUGCUGUUAAUUCUGUAUUAAGUGGAAGUGCCGAUUCUGUAGGUGGCACUAUGAAUUAAUGCUUCCAUGCAGCACUUGAAGUUACAGUGCUGAACCACAGACCAUCCUUCAGAAGAGGUGUGUUACCCUGUGUGAUUACCUCCGUGUACCUACUGCAAGAAGGAAGUGGCUUCUAUGAGUAAGUUGUCCAAAGAGAACCAGCUGAUAUCCGCUGGCUGGCAUCCAAGAGAAUCCGAGUCUCUUCUCACCUUUUAUUUUUGAUGAACCAUGAUCUCUCACAAAUUUUUCCAGAAACUGAAUCUGACAAGAGUAAGACAUAGCUCACAUUGUUUUUACUUACUUCUUACACUGUGCAAAUGCUAGCAAAGGAAGAUUUAAAGACAUGUAGAUGUAGAUUUAAAAUUAAUACAGAAAAUAAGUUUCUUUUAUCUAUUACCUUCUAGUCACGCUAGCUGCAAUUUGUUCUGGAAUAGAGACUUACAGUUAUACUCUAUUCUCCUGGCAAAGAUCAAGAAUUCUGGUUUUGCAGAAAACCGGGCUUCUUAUUUCUUGGAGAGUGCUGCUUUUGGAUUGCCUAUGACAAGGAAAAACCUGUAGGGAAUAUCAAAGGCUACCAAGGCAUUUCUUUGAAAUAGUUAUGGCUGUUGACUUGAGAAAAAAAACAAGGUAGUGUAUGUGAUGUGACAAAGUUAAGAUUGCUGGGGAAUGUCAUCCAUUUCUAUGCCACUUGCUUCUCUGUAUGUGGGAUGUACUGAUUGAUUUUGAUUUUGAGUGGUCCUGUCUAGAGCCAGGAGUUGGACUCGAUGAUCCUUGUGGGUUCCUUCCAACUUAAGAUAUUAUAUGAUUCUCAGUUUCUAUUUAGCAGCUUGCUCAAGGCUGAGGCUGGAGUGAGAACUGCACAUGCUCAGUAAAUGUAGCUGAUUCUGUCAGAAUUUUGAAUAAAAGUGCUACAUGUGUAACAAACAAAUCUGGAACAUACCCAAUUAGCAGGAGUUUGGUGACCAUGGUUGCCAGUAGGAAGUUGCAAGGGUGUUGCUUGUCUUAUUUCAUUUUGCAGAGGAAAUAUUGGCAGUCACGGGCAAACCGAGCCAGUUAGACCAGCUGGUCCUGUUACAGGUAAAUGAAGAAAAACAAAUGUCACAUCAAAUCCAACCUGAGCUGCUUCUGGCAUGUGUUUGCCAUGGGAGGAGCAAGGGCAGAUUCAAAGCCACAUUCACAUCGACUUCAAUGAAAGCUAACCCUGGGAUUAAAAUUUGAAAACUGCUGCUAUUCCUCCUUAGAAAAACUGCAUUUCAAACAAAUCUGUACUUCAGCCAGUCUCAAAGUUGAUCUUAAUCAACUGCUUAAAACACUCUGACUGAAGCACUGAGCAGUGCACUGAAGUUACCAAAGCUGAAGAAUCACCGGAAUUCUUGGCAGCAUUCUCUGUGGAUGUUAUGUGUUCUCUGUGAGCUACUUUGUACGGAAUCAAAACCCCAGGAGAUGGCAAGAAGGUCACCUGGCUAGGGCCAGCAGAGAAGGGCUGUUGGACUUUGGAGACUGCCCAUUUAAGAGAUGUUUCCUUAAACAUAGAAGGCCAAGGUUCAGGGUGUUUACUUUUUUUUAGUGGGAUUUCCUCACUAACUAGACACUGACUGACUGUUCUGGUGGGAAAUUCAUCACUUCCAGAAGCAAAUUAAAGAAGUCUCCAUGUCCUGGUUUCAGCUGACAUAGAGUUAAUUUUCUUCCUAGUAGCUGGUACAGCACUGUUUUGGAUUUAGGAAGGGAAUAAUGUUGACAACACACCAAUGUUUAGUUAUUGCUGAACAGCUCUGCAUACAUCCAAGGACAUUUCAGCUCCUCGUGCUGCCCAACCAGUGGGGAGAUGAGGGUGCACAAGGAGCUGGGAGUGGACAGAACCAGCAUGGCUGACCCCAACAGGCCAAAGGCACAUUCCAUACCAUGUGGUGUCAUGCUGCACAGUAAAACUGAGGGAGUGGCCAUCAAUUGGGAACUGACUGGGCAUUGGUCAGCAGGUGGUGAGCAGUUGCAUUGUACAUCACUUACUUACUUUUUUCAUUCUUUUUUUUUUUUCCCACUUUCUUAUUAAACUGUCCUUAUCUCAACCCAUGAGUUCUUGCAUUUUUUCCUUUUUUUUUUUAUUUUUUAUUUUUUAUUCUUUCUCUCAUCCCACUGGGAUGAGUCAGUGAAUGGCUGUGUGGUGCUGAGCUGCCUGCUGGGUUAAACCACAACACCCCCAACAAAUGGUAACUGAGACGGGCUUCGAGACCUCAAGAGAGCUCAAGUGAGAGAGAAGAGCAGAGAGAUCCACUUUGCAGAAAUGAGGAGGAAAUGAGGACAUCGUCACUGUGGAAAUAGCUAAGGAGGGAGAAAAUGAGCUGACACGUGUGACUUGAAGGAGAAGUUGUGUUCAGAACAACGUUGCGUUCCCUGGAGGUCUCGUGACCAAGGAGAGCAAUGAGGCAUUGAAUAGUGUUCAGGUGUUUUAUUGCAGUGUCUCAAGCUGUAUAACUCAGUGUUAAAAGACUGGAUUU